rnacentral:rRNA from 1 species
GAUGAACGCUGGCGGCGUGCCUAAUACAUGCAAGUCGAGCGAACAGAUGAGGAGCUUGCUCCUCUGACGUUAGCGGCGGACGGGUGAGUAACACGUGGAUAACCUACCUAUAAGACUGGGAUAACUACGGGAAACCGGAGCUAAUACCGGAUAAUAUAUUGAACCGCAUGGUUCAAUAGUGAAAGACGGUUUUGCUGUCACUUAUAUAUGGAUCCGCGCCGCAUUAGCUAGUUGGUAAGGUAACGGCUUACCAAGGCAACGAUGCGUAGCCGACCUGAGAGGGUGAUCGGCCACACUGGAACUGAGACACGGUCCAGACUCCUACGGGAGGCAGCAGUAGGGAAUCUUCCGCAAUGGGCGAAAGCCUGACGGAGCAACGCCGCGUGAGUGAUGAAGGUCUUCGGAUCGUAAAACUCUGUUAUUAGGGAAGAACAAAUGUGUAAGUAACUAUGCACGUCUUGACGGUACCUAAUCAGAAAGCCACGGCUAACUACGUG